GACGAACGCUGGCGGCGUGCUUAACACAUGCAAGUCGAACGAUGAAACCUAGCUUGCUAGGUCGAUUAGUGGCGAACGGGUGAGUAACACGUGACUAACCUGCCCCUUUCUCUGGGAUAACGCUCCGAAAGGAGUGCUAAUACCGGAUACUCACACCGAGGCACAUGCCUUGGUGUGGAAAGUUUUUCGGAAAGGGAUGGAGUCGCGGCCUAUCAGCUUGUUGGUGAGGUAACGGCUCACCAAGGCGACGACGGGUAGCCGGCCUGAGAGGGCGACCGGCCACACUGGGACUGAGACACGGCCCAGACUCCUACGGGAGGCAGCAGUGGGGAAUAUUGCACAAUGGGCGCAAGCCUGAUGCAGCGACGCCGCGUGAGGGAUGAAGGUCUUCGGAUUGUAAACCGCUUUCAGCAGGGAAGAAGCCGCAAGGUGACGGUACCUGCAGAAGAAGCACCGGCUAACUACGUGCCAGCCGCCGCGGUAA
rnacentral:rRNA from 1 species